GAAGAGGUGGCUGAGUGGUCGAAAUCGAACGGCUCGAAAUAGUUUGAAGGGCAACCCUUCGUAGGUUCGAAUCCCACCCUCUCCG
rnacentral:tRNA from 1 species